UACGUAGGGCGCAAGCGUUGUCCGGAAUCAUUGGGCGUAAAGAGCUCGUAGGCGGCCUGUCGCGUCUGCUGUGAAAUCCCGGGGCUUAACCCCGGGCGUGCAGUGGAUACGGGCUGGCUGGAGGCAGGCAGGGGAGAACGGAAUUCCCGGUGUAGCGGUGAAAUGCGCAGAUAUCGGGAGGAACACCGGUGGCGAAGGCGGGUCUCUGGGCCGUAACUGACGCUGAGGAGCGAAAGCGUGGGGAGCGAACAGG
rnacentral:rRNA from 1 species